rnacentral:lncRNA from 1 species
ACAGAGAUCAAAGAGAGACACAGAAGGUGAGACUGGGGAGAGAGAUAAUGUAAAAGGAAGAAAGAGUACAAGAGGAAGUGAGAGGAUGCAGAGAGGCUGGCAGGGCUGAGAAAAGGAUCUAGAGGCUCAAGCAACAAGGAGGUGCAGGGAAAGGGUGGAGCAUGGCCACUGAGGAGAGACAGAGCCAGAGAACUGGAGGAUGCAAGUGAGAAAGGGAUGUGGAGGAGAGUGUAGAAUCAGGCUGCUUGAGGAAUAGUAGGCUGCCUACAGCAAAGACUAGAUGGCUGUAUGUCAGGAGGUAAAUAGAGAGGAUUCAGGUUAUGAAAGGGUAAACCGAUAAGAUGACCGUUAAGGUUUUGUUGUUUUACUGAGAGGCUGUAAAUCCACCAGGGGAAGCUGUCACUAAGGCUGCAGAGGGGCUGGAGAGCUACACAGGGAAGAUCAGAACUACUGUUGUAAACAAUGCCGCUGGGUUAGGGUCUCCCCGACUGAGCUGGUAUCAGCAAAUGGCAUCCAUCAUGGGGACUCAAAUCCAGGUCAAAGGUUUGCCAGAGGGAUGGUUGGAGAACAUGGAACUAGCUAGAGGACACCUGAGUACUCUUAAAGCAAUCCCUGUGGCCAAAAUCAACAGCCAAUUUGGAUACCAUCAAGACAAAUGAAACCUUAUCAUGAGCCAGAUUCUGGGAGGAUCCCGAGGACCCCUCAGUUGAAGCCAUGUCAAGACUGACGUUGAGGAAGACCCCAGCUUUCACGAGCAACACCCGUUUAACACAGCCACCCACCUGGGGAGAGAUCACGAAGCUGUCACAGAUUGUGGAAGAAAACCUGAGAAAAGCAGGACAACCAGUCACAAUGAGUAAUUUAAUGGUAGCUAUGAUAGCAGUUAUCACCCUGCCAUGAGUAUUCCUUCAACAAGGGCUGACACAGAGAACAAUUAUACUUACUGGGCAUAUAUAUCAAUCCUGGAUGGUAAUAAUGCCUGAAUAUAAUCACUCUAUGACACAGUUACACAUGCUUUCUGAUCUCAGUAUUUACCCUAAUAAAUUUGUUCCUAUAAUUGAGGCAUACCACCUUAAAAAACCUAUUUGUAAACAAAAUAGAACCUGGCCAGAAAUAAUGAAUGUACUUGUUUAGGAAGAUUGCUUUACAGAACAGGCAGAGGGGCUGCAUAACGAUUCCUAUGGAAUCUUUAUUGAUUGGUCCCCUAAAGGGAUGUUUAACCUAAAUUGCACCUCUCAGUCUGCAUGCCAUGGCCACACUAUGCUCAGCUGAUCUAAACAAAAUGGUCAGAUGGUAGAAAUGAUAAGAAGUAUGGCAAAAGUUCCUAUUAUCUGAAACCAUGGCAGUAUAGUGGCACCUCAACCUCAAAUGAUAUGGCUUAUUGUAGGAGGUAAACAUGAAGGAUUUGUGGAAACUAUUAAUAGCUCUUAAUAAGAUCAAAAUUUGGGAAAGAAUAAAAAAGUAUCUAGAAGGACACACUACAAACUUGUUUUUGGAUAUGGCAAAAUUAGAAGAACAAAUAUUUAAAACAUCUCAAGCACACAUGGCCUUAAUGCCAGGAACUGGAGUGUUUAAAGG